CCUCAUAUUCGGAAAUCCCGCCACCUCGCCAGAAUAGUCGAAGCCGUGAUUCAAACUUUUGAAAAACACGCGCACUAUCGCAUUGGCUGCAGCGAGCCAAUGAGCGCGGUCCGGUCAGUUCACUUGCGUGCUGCUGCUGCGCUGUAGUCAUUGUCACUAGUCAGCCGAGCCGACCGGAGCAAGCGGAGAAUGCGAACCGCGCGAGUGCUAAGGAAAAGCCGUUGGAUGUCGGCUCGUCAAAUAAUGCCGAUUUUCGGCCGAAUUUUCGCCCUCGAGUCGACCAGCAGGAGGCCAUGGAUGUUGGAGAAGCUCUUUUAUCCGCAAACAAUGCCAGACCUGACCCGUGCCCGCAGCCUGUUCUCGUGGCGUCGUGACAACAAUGCAACUCGUAACAACUGCGUAGCGUACAUACAUUCGCCCUGAAACUUGCGAUCCCCGGCACAGUGAAAUUGCUGAUCUGAAACCUACGCAGGAGUCCAAACCACCAAACCCUCGCUCCCUAACCUGAGCCAACCCCCAAAAGAGCUGCUUAGCAAGGUGGCCGCGCCGCCAACAGUCACAGGUCAUGUUCGCACCUAUGUAAAAGGUUCUUAAUGAAAAAUUUCCUCCUGUUGUCAAUAUUUUGUAAAUUUUAUAUGAAUUAUUAAACAUAGCACCUUGAA